UACAGAGGGUGCGAGCGUUAAUCGGAAUUACUGGGCGUAAAGCGCGCGUAGACGGUUUUGUAAGUCAGAUGUGAAAUCCCUGGGCUCAACCUGGGAACUGCAUUUGAGACUGCAUGGCUAGAGUAUCGAAGAGGGAAGUGGAAUUUCCGGUGUAGCGGUGAAAUGCGUAGAUAUGCGGAGGAACACCGAUGGCGAAGGCAAUCCCCUGGGCCUGCACUGACGCUCAUGCACGAAAGCGUGGGGAGCAAACAGG
rnacentral:rRNA from 1 species